rnacentral:lncRNA from 1 species
GCGGCUCCCGGGCCGCCCCCGCCGGGGCGGGGCGGGGCAGGGCAGCGCCGGGGACGAGCUGUCUGCCCGCCCUGACCUCUAGCCUGGGCGGGCGGCGUCCUUCCUCCUCUUCCUCCAGCUGCUCUCCUGGGAGCGCGAAUGUAGGUCGCGUGAGGCGCGGUUCAAAUCUAACGAGUUCAGGUAAAACGGCUGAAAGAACGAGGAGAGGAGGAAACGCGCUCUCUUCUUCCAGGAUGCAGUCCUGGUCUUACUGAAGUGAAUUGCAGAGCUCCCGUACCUACAGUUCUUCUUAAGGUUGGCCAGGUCCCCUGGAGCACACUACCAGAGGUCUUUUUAUAGGUACUUACUGAGUCCUCCUGCAGUUUACACUGUAUACAUGAUCCACUUCCGGAUACCUCAUAUAUCUGAGGUAAGAUCUAGGCUAUUUCAAAUUCUACACUCAAGUAAUUCUGAGGUAAAAUCAUUACACCCAAGGUGAGUUGUUUCCUUCAAGUGCAGUUAAUAUUGCACUACAAUAAUAAUUUUUAUUAUUCUU